UGGGGAAUAUUGGGCAAUGGGCGAAAGCCUGACCCAGCAACGCCGCGUGAGGGAAGAAGGUUUUCGGAUUGUAAACCUCUGUCCUUGGGGACGAAGAAAGUGACGGUACCCAAGGAGGAAGCCCCGGCUAACUACGUGCCAGCAGCCGCGGUAAUACGUAGGGGGCGAGCGUUGUCCGGAAUUACUGGGCGUAAAGGGUGCGUAGGCGGUUUCCUAAGCCAGAUGUGAAAUCCCCGGGCUUAACUCGGGUGGUGCAUUUGAAACUGGGAGGCUAGAGUGCAGGAGAGGGAAGCGGAAUUCCUAGUGUAGCGGUGAAAUGCGUAGAUAUUAGGAGGAACACCAGUGGCGAAGGCGGCUUUCUGGACUGUAACUGACGCUGAGGCACGAAAGCGUGGGGAGCAAACA
rnacentral:rRNA from 1 species